rnacentral:rRNA from 1 species
CGAAUGGGGCAACCCGGCAUGGCGCGAGUCAUGUCACCUUUCGAGGAGCGAACGUGGGGAAGUGAAACAUCUCAGUACCCACAGGAAAAGAAAUCAACCGAGAUUCCCUUAGUAGCGGCGAGCGAAACGGGAGUAGCCCUAAAAUCUUUGAGGUGUUAGUAGAAUAAGCUGGAAUGCUUGACCGAAGAGGGUGAAAGUCCCGUAUACGAAAACUAAUCAUAGACUAUUCGAGUAGGUCGGGACACGUGAAACCCUGACUGAAUAUGGGAGGACCACCUUCCA